UGGAGUCUGGUUACUGUAGAAGUCCUGCUGUUGGGGAAGCUCGGCCAUUGACGAAGUCUGGAGGAAGUUCGGAGUAGAGUCGAUCGUGGCUGGAAGAAGUCUGGAAAAGAUUCAGAGAAUAGUCGAUCACUGCAGAAAAUCGGCUGAUAACGGAGUUCGGAGGGCAUUUGGAGCAAUCCAGUAGAUGAAUGGAGAAGCUCAUGAUUGGAGAAGCCCGGAUGCCAUUAAGGAAGCUCGGACGGUCGAGGGAGUUCAGAAAGAUGUCACACAAGGUCGGAAGCCGGAAAAGCCCU
rnacentral:lncRNA from 1 species